CCUCCUACAGCAGAGAUGCAAAGGACAGAAUGUUUAAAAUCUUUGAGAGAGAUCGCUAUGCCACUGGCAGAAAGGCCAGCUCAAGCCUCGAGGUGACUUAACUAGUGAAGUAUGCCACUGAGCUGAUGGUUAUCACUUGAAUGUCAAAUUAUACGAGAAACUACUUAGAUGUUUCAGAUGAGGGAAAGCUCACAGAGGAUAAAGAUGACCAUCUUGUUUCUUGUACACUGGAAAGUAAUACUCUUGGGAUGUCACCUUUCUCUUUAAAGAAGUUUGUCAUCACGGGAGGGCAAAGGAUCUUGCAAUAUGUCAUUGAACAGUUAAAAAAAGUACCAUUAAAGGAACAAAGGGGACCGCAAGAGAGAGAAUGCACUUGAAGAGUUUGCAUUCUAAAGUUGAAAUGGAAAAGGGAUGAUUUCUUACAGUCUUUCUUGUUGGCAAUUUCAAAAUGGGCUGAUAAGCAAUUGGGAGACAACCAUCUCAAUUAUGCUGAGGCAAUGGAGUCUGCAAAUAAAGUUUUACAUGACAUCUUCAAUCAAAUAUGCAUUUACAUGGGUAAAGAAUUGUUACUGGUUGGAAAAGAAAACUUAAAUUGGUUGCGAAAUAUAAUUACUGCUGUUGAAAUCUUUCUAUAUGUAGGGACAGUGCUUGUUCAAAGACUAGUUACCUUAGAUUCUUCUAGUGCUGUGAAAGGUGAUCGCCUCAUCGUCAAUGGAGAUCGCCUUGACGAGGUGAUCCUUCAUUGCCUUUUAGCUUUGUGGCGAGGCGAUCUUCAAAAGACGAUGCCAUGGCUAACAAAGGCGAGAGGCGAGAAAGGUGUCGCCUUUUGUAUUUUCUUUUUUAAAAAAAGGCAACCAAUUUAGGAUUUUAAAAGUUAAAAGGUAAUUUUAGGAUCUUCGACUAGACUCCUAAGGCGUGAGCUAGACUUUUCCAGCGACUUCAAAAUCCAAGCAAUACAUAUUUCUUCUAUCUUCUUCUUUUCGCCUUCCUCUGUUUCCUUUUCCUUCUUCUACUUCACAGUCACUUCUACCUUUACCUCUGUCUUUUUUUUCUCACUGUUUUGACUUUUGUUUUGUUUUUUCCCAUUCAAGU